UCUCUCACCAUCUCAUUAUAUCAAUCUCAAACUCAGUAGCUCACUAUCUCAAAUCCGUUCGAUUUACAAAGGAGACCCAAAUUGAAGACCUAGCUCGAAGAAGACCCAUUGGAUUUACAAAGUAGCUUGGAGCAGCUCAAUUGUUUCGAUUGAAUUUUAGAGUUUCAAUUGGUUCAAUUGAGUUUUAGGGUUUCGAUUGGUUCAAUUGGGUUUUAGGAUUUCGAUUAGUAAGACCCAUCUUCGCUUCUCUGUCUCCAUCUUCUUCUUCAAGGUAUAUAUCUUAGUGUAUCUCCUUCUCUGCCUCAAUUGGUUCAAUUUCAAUUUCAAUUCUUAUUUUUUAAUUUAUUAUUCAAUUGUAUUUCAUUCGAACAUAUCUGGAGCUUGUUUAUGGAGCUUGUUCAUCAUUAGUCUGGACCUUUAUCGAGCUUGGAAUUGGCAAUGCUCAGACAUCAUUGAUAGAUUGGACAGGGAUUGAUUGUUUGAACCAGAAACCUAGUCACCCUUUUGGCAAUGCUUUCAAGCAGUUAGUGAAGGGGAUGCUUGCUGGUGAGGCAGUCAUUCUUCCAUAAUGAUGUGAAUAACUUAUCUGGUUGUCGGGGAUGCCAUUCCAUUUUCCGUAUCACACAUGUGGCUUGUCUCUGAAUAUUGGAUUGGUUUGUCCAGAGAAAGAGUUAGACAAGUUGGACUUGUUACACUGGAGAAACUAAAACAUGCUGCUACGAGGAAAAUGAGGCCAUGCUCCUAAAACAAUGAUUUGAUAUGCAGAGAAUACCGAUAAGAAGGCCAAAUCUGAUAAUGGAAAUGUAGCUAAGCGGCUAGUUUACUAGUUUUAUGUUGAUGUGUAUUUCUUUGGAAGUACUUAAAUUGGAAUGGUUGAAAUUCUAGUAAUAGCUAUGCUAUUUUGAUUUUGAGAA